rnacentral:tRNA from 1 species
AGAAACUUAGGCUAAUUAAACCUAAGGCCUUCAAAGCCUUUAAUAGAAGUUAAACUCUUCUAGUUUCUG